GGAGGUCCAGGAGCAGCUGUAUCACUGACGCAGUCAUGACUCUGCACCUGCUGCAGUGAACCAUGGUUGCACCCUUAUAAGAAGUUAAUGUUUGCUGCUGUUCUCUAAGGAAAGACAGAAUAAAGUGAAAACACUUCCCAUUUGGAAGGACCAAGCAACACAAGAGCAGACAAUUCAGGCCUAGGAUAUGUUAAAAGAUACUGUGUUUCAAGUAAGUCCAGGGUAUGAUCUCAAGCAGAAGGAAGCACCAGCACAUACUUCCUGUGCUUGUGUGUUAUUAAAGGAAACUCCAACUGAUAAGAUAGUGAAACUGAAGAAUCUGCAUUAAAAGCCUAAAAACAUUAACAUGUUUUUAUAGGCAAAAAUGUCUUAACUGAUGACAGGGAACAUGCCUUUUAACUACAUUCUGCUUCUUACGUUGCACAGUGGGUAAAAUGGACCCAGUUUUCUAUUUCCUGCUGCUCUAGGCAGGGGACUGAGCUUGCAGGCAGGUAUUUCAGGCAGCUUCUCCUCCGUGCACACAAGUGCUGCAGUACUGCAUCCUAUACUGCACACAACACAGAAGAAUGAGAAGAAAGAGGGUCCCUUUCUGCUAAUAGCAUAUUUAGCGUUUUAUCUAGCAUGGUACCAUACCUAUUGGCUCUUCACAACCAGCUGCACUCUGCGUGACUUUGCUAGACCCAGGGAGGGGCAGAGGAAGUCUUUCUUCCUCUCAGCCUCAUGUCUGCAGAACUAUUGCCUGCCAGGUUUCUCUCCCAGGAAAAGCGCUUUGUGAUUCUGCAGAGCUGCUGCCCUUUUCCCAGGACCUCCUCACCCUCUGGCAUAUUGGACAGACCCCAGCAUCCCCCACCAAGCAGGACUUCACACUAAGCAGCCUGUGUAGGUCCAGAAUUGGUCUACCCUCCUUUUACAGCUGAACAGUACUGCUCUGCCUCAGCAGGGUCAGGGCUCUUCACAUCUGCACUGAAAGCAACAGGAUGUGGUCUCCUUGCUCAGAUGGAGUAAAGCUCUUUGAGGGGGUCUUCUAGCAAACAGCACAGACAUUAGCCAGCUCCACUGCAAGCCAAUGCUAAAUAGAAAAAAAAAAAAAAAAAAAAAAAAAAGAACAGUUCCUGGUGGGAGGUAAAGGGUGAGUAAGGCAAGGAACUACACAAAAUGCUGCCAACCUCCAUUCUUUGAUUUAUUUUUAAACUUCAAGUGGGAUAGGAUAAAAUUCACACCUAUUUUAAGGCUCCUUUCUGCUGCCAGAACCAGCUAAAGGGACCUUAAAGUAAAUGAGCAUCAGGGCUAGAGAUGUUAUUGCUGCUUUUUGCAGCAAACACAAAAUGAAGGGAUCCUUUGCCACUUUAUAAAUAAAUCUGGGCAAACCUAUGAAUAGGCUUGAAAACACUUCAACAUCUGAGUAACUCUAUACCACAGAAGACCCCUCAGAUUUUAUAAGAAGGAUCACGUGUGCUGAAGUGCUUUCAUAAACACAGAGUGCAGAACUAAACUUUAGUCUUUAUCAUUAUCUUUGUUUUGGGGGAAGAAAAAAGUGUUUCUGUUUUCUGGGCAAACUGCUGCUUUUUGAAAAUUGAUUAAAAGAAAGCCACGUGAGGUUCGCACACAAAAAAUAUGCGAAAUUUUGCAUGUCCUGAGUUAAAAAUAAAUAAAUACUCAUUUAGGAUUAACAUGUAGAAACUUUUCAGUUUGUAGCUGGGACAUUUCAGAUGGUCCUAAAAAAAAGUGCCUAAUACUUUUUCAUUGCAGAUUUAUCAACAAAAGCACUUCAAAAUAAUCUAUAAUCCUAACUGAUGAAAAACUCAAUAGCUGUACAGCAGUCAUAGGAAUGAUAUAAAUUAACAGCAGCUGAGAAUUAAAACUAAGCAAAUAUUAUAAAUUAUAUUCCCACGGGAUAUAUUCGCAAUAUUUAUUUUCACCAGAAAUUUGGGAUAACUAGAAAUUUGGGAUAACUAGUAUGAGGGCAGGAGAUGGAAUUAAGACAAACUUAUAGCAGGCAGAUACAAGAAUACAAUAUUGUGUUCUGCAAUGUUGCAGACGUAGGAAAGAGGGGUAAGGACAAACAUCAAAGUUUGUCAACUCUGCUAUUAUACAGAGCCUGUCUUAAGGAAACAAUAAGAAAAGCAUACGAAUGCUGAAAUAUUUUCUCAGCUAACCUGAAAUUAAAUUUCAAAAAUAAUUUCAAAACCAGAAUUUUCUGAUUCCACUUAUACAAUGUAAGAGCUUAAUUUUCCUAGAGAAAAAUAAAAAUGCAGAGAAAAACAGAAAUUUCCCUCAAGAAAUAUUACAUUUAUGGAAGCAACAUUUGUUACAAAUGAUAUCUGAAAUUUCACAAAACCAUAAACCUGGAGUAGAACAUGAACCAAAGGCACCAAUUCAAAUUCAUUUUGCCAAGUACACACUUCUUGCAAACUUAAAAUAAAUACCUAGAAAUAUCAAGAAUUUAUCAAGCAGAAGAAAGGCAUUUCUAUCAAUUGCACCGUAUUUUAAAUGACAUCCUCAGUCUUCAUAGGAAUACUUUAACUACAGUAACCCACUUGUUCGACUACAGCUAACAACGCCUUUGCUGCUCUGUGGUUUCUCUCAUGCUGUUUACUUCUGUUUUUCUUCUACAGAACCCUACUCAAAAGGAAGAGGGUGCAGCAUACUGUGGUUUAGAGCUUAAGCACUUCCAAAUGGUGAAACUGUGUUACCAUAGCACCCACAUGCUCAAGCAAUCAGACCUAUCUCAGUGCUAAACCACAACUUCUCUAGUGCAGUCAUGAAAUUUCCCUAUUAAACUCCUUUUCACCAAAUUUGCAUUUAUAAUUAUUUUUAGUUGUACAAAUUCAUUAAUAUGAUACAGUCAAGGCUGCUUUGCAGGGAGAAUGUGCAAUGAUGUGAAUUGUCUGCAAGAGGGGAGAAUAUCAAAUCCUGAUGUAACAGUUAAUUCAGCUGUGAAACGUUGGCUACCAUUCACAGUCAUUAAGAAACACGUAACAUGUAUAUAUACAUGUAUACAUAUAUAUGUAUACAUGUAUACAUAUAUAUAUACAACAUGUAUAGCAUGAGGAAUGUAAGAUUGGCUGUCAUACUUGCUUGGUAAUUUUGUGAUACGUGCAAAAGAAAAAACGUGCUAAUGUUGCUUUGCCUUUUGUAUAUUUUCAGUGUUUGUGCACGUACAGAGCCAAGAGCCAGAGUACAUGUGCUAAACUUACCAUAUAUCAAGCAGCAGUACCUAACCUCAGGUAUGACUCUUCUAGCUCCAAAUCUACCAUGAGCAGAAAGAAACACUUGAUCGAAACUGUCAGCUUAAUGAUACAGACAGGCUGGUUCUGGAAUUGCUGAGUGCAUACUGUUUAUGGCAAACAGAAGAAAGGAAGGACAUGCAACAAUUACACUCUCUUCUCAAUUUCUGUGCCCAUGUUUUUGCAAUUGCCUCCUCUACUAGUUCUAUGUAUUCAGCAUAGUUGAAGGCAGAUCAGUUCCCAAGAUUUUUGACCACAGAAAGAAGCUGCAACUGAGAACUGGCUGACUACUGGCGAGAGUGUGAGCUAUGGGCAAAACUUCUUUGUCUUGGACUAUCUCAUUGGACCUUGGCUUAUUUAAAUAUCUGACUUACUUCUCUAUCCACCUCUGAGCUGCUUCAAGAUAAAAGUGUUAUGCUGUAUUGCAGACAUCUCCUGACUACAAAUUGCUUUUUACAUAAUUUUGCCAGCAAUAAAAAAUGAAUGGGUCCUGGAAAUGUUUCUCUAAACUUUCUCUAAUCAGCUCAAAUGACAAACCAUAAACAGUUUAAAUUCAUACUGUAUGAAUUGCAGCAUUUGAGCCACUGAUAAUGUAAAAUCAACCAAAAUCAUAAAUCUCCCAUUUGUUAUAGGUCUGUUAGCAGGAAGUACUUCGAUCAACAGCUCUGUAUCUACAAGAACUAUUAUUUCAGUGAGGUAAAAUCAGUGAGUUUUAAUCAGUGAAUUAAAAAAAAAAUGCAGCUAGCAAUUUUUAAAAAUAAAUGAACAUUUCUUUCAAGAAAUUAUACCCAUCUACGAGUUUUCACUCUAUGUAAUAAUAUUUUUCUCUGAGCAGUUGCUGUGUUAAAGACCCAAACAAAUAUAAUGCGGCUAACUGUCCUAGGGGUUCUGAGGGAGGAGUGUAGCUUACAGAGAUAAAUAAUUUUCAGGUGCUCUGAACAUUUAUGUCUCCAACUGGCAUCACCUGGAUUGCAAACACUCAGCUCUCCUACAAAAUAGGAUCAAAGUACAAUCAAAAAUGGAAAGAAAGCUCACAGGCUGUGAAAAGACACAAUAAUAUUUCCUUUAAUUUUAUUUUUUUAAACUUUAGAAGUGCAUUGUAUUCAGAGCCAAGAAAGAAUUUUAGAUGGGAGACUAACUUUCAAGGCAAGGUUGCUUCCUACUAAUUUAAUUUUAUUUAUAAUGCAGGAAUAUCAACGUUUGUCAAUCACAAAUAUAACUGCUUGGUGCUACGUUCUGUGGAGGUUGUGUACAAGAAGUUAUGCCUGCAAAGUUUUUCAUUUAGACAUAAUGGAAAAAAAGGAAAAGAAUAUUUAUAGUUUUACAAAGGAAAAAAAAAAAAACAGAAAACUUGUCCCAGGUGUUUACAAGAUCCUUAACUAAAGAAGAGAUGCAUGAAACAGAAUUAAGAUGUUCCUACUGAAAAGCCACCACUAAAAUUUCAUUUUUUCCAGUGAUCUGGCAUUCGCCUUCCUGCUCCAAGCUUAACAGGACCCUCAGCAAUUCCUGUGCCCCAUGAGCCAACGUCCCAGUGAGACAUCGCUGAUCAGCAGUGCCCCAAACUAUCCUGCUACUCUCAGUCACCUCCCAUGACCCAAAUUUCUUGCAGCAUUAAUAGAAGAUCCUAACAGAAUUGGUUAAUAUACAUCUAGCUUCUGUUUCUUAAAAGGAUAGAGAGUACAGAGAGAUAAAAGUUCAUCUGGCUCAGUGGAGAACCAUUCCCACGCCAACUCUGCCUGCUGGGCAGCUCCCUUGCCCACCCAGGGCUGCCAGCUGCAGCCCAUAAACUGUGUUUCAAGGGAGAGUGAUUUUACUUGGAAAGCUGAGCCAACACUCAGGAGAAUGGACCUGUGAUUCGUGUCGCAGCAGAAGCAACGGUGAUGAACAGCUUACACAGCAGUGCUGAGCACCCACAACUCCUCCUAGAGUCAGUAAAAACUUUGAGUGAAAGGGAUUUCUCAAUCCCCUUUCCCUCUUUACUUUUUUUUUCUUUUGAAACAUCAGAUUAUCAAAUUUGGUGCCCAACCCUGGGCAGUUAUGUGCAUUUUAAACCUGACCUUUUUUUUCUUGCUCUUUUUUGCUAUUUUAAUUAAAGCAAUCAUGAGAUGUUAGCCCCAACUUUAACCUACCAAUCUACCUGGGAAUCAUAAGAAGGGGGUGGGGGUGGGUGGGUGGAAUAGUUCAUCUGAUUUUGCUUUCAGUUUUGCGCUGGCCGUCCUUUUCUAAAAGACUGUGUGCUGAAGAUGUCAGGAGAUGAAAAUACAGGCUCAGAAUGACUCCACUGGGCUCACAGGGAUCGCCGUGCCCAGUAUUCUAGCAAAGAACCUGUGAAAUCUAAAGCUCACAUUUCUCAGGAUCUGAACGAGACUAAUUUCAGUACUUCUUUAAACAAUUCAAAGCAACAGAAACAGUCUAUGUUUCUUUCUUUUGUAUGUAGCAAGUAAUUUUUAUUAGCGUUUCAUAAAUCUUUGCUUUUUUGUUUGUUUCUUUACUACAAUUUUGUAACCUAAAAAUGCUAAGUGAGUGGUCUGGGAAAGAAAAUUAAAAUCAAAGGUACUAGGUAAAGAAUGCUGGACAAAAAGUUAUUUAGGAAAAGUGUUUUAUUGACUUUUCAAAGUAUAGGGACCCAGAGAAAAAGCCCUCAGGCCAAAGCCAAGAGAACAUCCAAUUACAUGCUCCAGAUAAUUUAAACUCUUGAUUUAGACACAGAAAUCCACGGGCCAGGAAAUUUAGCAGACCUGUAAACGUUUCUGAUAUCUAAUAAAAAGAAUGAUGUAUGUAGUGGCAACUAAACAUCUUACAAUAGCAAGUACAACUCCCACUUGGAAGUGGGAGGUCAGAAAAGCUAUGUGAGCAGGAAAAUGAGUAUCAGUUUGUAUACAGACAUACACGCAGACAGAGCACUGUGGAAGUAGCAUGUAUAAUGUCUCCUGUGAGGACAGAUGGAAAAGCUGACACAGAAAGACACAGAAUGUGCAAAUGUGGGUAAGAUUUUAUUCUUUAAAGGUCUAUAAUUUUCCAGCAUUUGGUUGAAACAGUGAUGAAUUUAUGACCACUUGACCUGGUAAAAUUAACUGCUUUUUCCUUUUUAACUAAGGGAAUGUAUCAGAAUUUUUUCAGUGUGUAGAUUAAGACACUUGCAGAGUUUACUGAGCAUCCCUACAGCCACACAAACGUGAUUAUAUGAACGAAGCAAAAAAAGACAAAAAGUGCUGGUAAGCGUUCACCUCCACACCCAAAUUCAUCAAUGCCUUCAGUAGGAAGUAAGCCCAUAGUUUAAAUUAAGACGAUGUUCUGAAUGAGGAGUGCUACAAAGGUUGUGGUAUAAGCAUGGGACAGAUCCCUAAUAUCACCCCAGCAACAAAUACAAAUGGGUAUCAGGGACUGACAGGGCUGAAUUCAGCAUUCAGCUCUGCUGGUUAGGGAAGGCAUGUGAGCCUUUCCUCUGCCUGCUGCUUGGUGCACGUAGACCAGUUCCAGCGUGGAAUUGCCUGGCUUUCUGUGGGCUCAUCUGCACCAGAUGUGAAUGCUUGGAUAAACUGAACUACAGUCAAAACCCGUCAUGAUCUACAGGACCCACUGGCAAACUUCAAUAAUUUGUCUAUUUUUAUAACACUUUGUGAUGCAAACUGAAAAUUUCAAGGUAAUUUCAUUCAAAUUGAAAUUAUAACAGUUUGUAAUGGUGCCCAACAUCAGCACAGCAAUUGAGACCAUUACACCUGAAGCCUUGAGAAAGCUGCAGCUACUCAGUUUGGACUUUCAAGAUUAGCUUCACACCCAGAAAGUCUGAAAAAUCUAUUAAAAAGUAAAACUCUAUCUUUGGGUUCCCGUUUUGUACAGAAUGGGUUUGUAACAAAUUCCAUGGUAAAGAAUGGAUGACGCUCUGCCCAGUGUAACAUAGAAGGUAUAGAAGAAAAUUGAAUUAAAGGCUGUCCUUUCAUUUUGGCAGAUGCCUGGGGUAGAUAACUGCCCCAAGGGAAUAUGGUUCUCUAAUGAAUGAGAACAGAAAUGGAACUAUUAUGAAAGCAUUCUCCAAAGAGCUCAAGAAACAACAGUAGGAUCCCUAACACCUCUUACACCAGCUGACAUCCCCUCAGCCUUCUCAUGGGUGACUGGGAAUCAGGCUGCAGUGAAGGAGAUGGCUGUGCAGAGGUGAGGGGCUGAUGGCUGAGCGUGAUCCCAGUGCUCAUGGGGAACUUCUCAAAUGAGACCAAUUGCAGUCUGUUUGACCACACCGUUCCCCCCGUGAGCAUGGGUCUACAUUACGUGAGGAAUGUAGGCCUCUUGCCAGAGCAUCUGCUCUCCAGCCAGGAGUGCAGGUGCUUUUACUUGUGCAAAGGUAGUACAAUGGCUUAAUAGCCGAGCAUGUUUUGUCUUACAAUUUUAAGGUACUGGCAAUUGCCAAUGAAAGCCAUCUUUUACCACAUCGAUGCUAAUGAGCUUUGGUACUACAUUACCAAAUGUAGCGUUAAUGAUCCUGCUUAUGCAGCUAGCUGUAUUCAGGGAUUUGUCUGUCUUGCUUUGCUGUGCCCUGUAGUCAUGUUCUAUUUGGCUAUGAGUCAUUAGUCGGCUAGAUGGUUAAACACCCAUUUCAGUAUAAGUCAGCUUCAGUUUGGAUUUGAGUGGCUAAACUAUGGGAGGGUUCCUUUUGUCUUGUGUGUGAAUUUUCUUCCUCUGUCCCUAGGGGACAAAACUGAGAGGUCAGUUUUGGUGGUUACCCAUCAGUCAGCUUGGAGUUUUGCUUGGUCUUCAUCUGUUAGUUUGGCAGAGAUUUUGAACUAUCAUAAAGUAAAUAAAAUGCAUUUCAACUCACCACCUCUCUAGGAAGUGGAAGAAAAAUUAUUUGAGCACUUCAACACAACAAAAUUGUAGUUAAAUGGGCUUAGUCUCUAGUAGUAACUUUGUCCAACAAUAUGUUUUUGUGUGUUCCUGUCCAGGCUAUGUAUACUGCUGACACAACAGCUUAUGAUGACAUGCUAAUAUACUAGUGGUCUAAAAGAGGGGUUUGGGGACAGCUGUAGGUCCAGCAAAGCUCUGAUGCUUUGUGCACAUGCACCAGACAAUGGUACUGUCAGCUGGGAAGCCUAAAAUUGCACAAGAAGUGUUUGGUUACUUCUAGCAUAUUUUUUUUUCUCUCUCCCCCCAGAUAGUUCCUAAUUCUCUGCCUCUUCUGGAACAGUUUCAGCGUCCUGCCUCUAAACUGCAAUGGUCCCCAGUGUUACGGGCAAGGCUCAUCACAGUUAGUUUUCUUGCCAUCAUGCAACUGCUUACGUCAAGCUCCAGGAAACUGGUCUCUGCCUCCACAGCCCAAAUAUUCCCAUCUUAAAGAUGUGUUCAGUCUCCGUAGCCUAAAUGCUGGCUGUUUGAUACACAAGUCUCACUACAACCUUGCAGUUGCUUCAGAAUUUCAAUCUAGAUUGCAUAUUUUGGGGUGCCUUGAAAGUUUUCUCUCCGUCUUCCAACUUGACCAAAAAUCCUGAGAUUUAGAGAUGACAAGAUCAAAGAGAUUAGCUCAGCCUUCUAUAAAGUUAUUUAAAUCUGAUUGUUCAGCAAGCCUGUGACAUGACUAUGUCACCCUGAUUAUCUUCCUAGUCUUAAACAGAUUUCACCAGGGGGAUACUGUUUGACUUCAGGUAGACUAGCAAGCUUAAUGAAAAUUUAUGUUUCUUUUCAAAAGAUAACCUACUUAAUUUCAAAGGAAUUUCCAAAUUCACCCAUUUAACCCCCUAUUGUUAAAGAUAAAUAAAAAAUUAAAUUCCUAGCUUUGUUCCUGCCAACCACAGAAAGAAGGAAAUGUUCACUUCCACCUUGUCUGUGACUUAAGAAAUGUGUAUGUGUUCCAGAAAGAGAACACAGUUCAAAUCUUUUAAUGGUUUAAGGCUGGAUAUUUUAUGGUGUUGUUUUUUGUUGGUGGUGGUGGUCUUUUGAACAGGGACAAGAACUGAGACAGGAAAUCACAGCAAAUAAUGGUUGUAGAUGUACAUGAACAGUUGCAUUAACUACAAAUUACAGUAAUGUAGUUAUUUUCAUUUGCAGAACUAAAAUGGCAGGCAAGUGGCCAGAGCUGUAUUUUGCUCUUCCUCUGACACCACCAGGAAGAGUCUGAGUUGCAUCAGAAGAUCUAGCUCACAAGGCACGCUUUCAACUGUAUAAAUGAAAUCAAGCAUAAUAUAAGCACUUCGGUGUUUAACUGUGUUUGGAACUAAUGGACUUCUUUUCAUUUCCUGGUAAAUGGCAGCCUACAAGAACUAUAUGGUAUCACAGGAUGUGGGUGUCUUAAUUUUAUCUCCUUUUUGCAGUGUGCUGGUCUCUAUUUAGCAAACCAGCUCUCAGCUUGCAUUUUAAGCAAGCGCCUUCCCGUUCCCGUGGCAAGGCUGCUUGUCAACCCACAAAUGAGUAAACUUCCUCACUGAGGUAAGUAAGGUGAAUAGCAGCAAUAUACAAAAAUAUUAACACUUCAGCCUACAUCGUUUGAAAACACAGAAUCCUACAAAACUAAACUACCAGAAAGUGCAAUUGUCCUAAUGACUCAUCUUUCAUUUUUAGCUACAAAGCAGUACAUAAGCAGCCUCUCCAAUGACAAGCCUCAUGGUACAUCACAGUACGAGACAGUCAUCAUCUAACAAAUAAGAUGGUUUGUGCUUUAACUUCUAUGAGCAUAACACUCUACUCAGAAAAUCCCAAGACUGUCCUGGACUAGGGAUAUUUGAGUUGCCCAGUACAAACACCUGAUGUACUUUUUUCUCUCAUAGUUUUGCUAUUGCUUCUGCAAGUUGGUACAUCAGAUAACACACCUAGCCAUGACAGACCACCUCCACACCAUCGCCAGCACACACUGCCAACAGGGAUAAAGAGCUGCACCUCCUUACAGAAGGCCACUGAAGUAAUAAGUAGGCCUGUAAAAACUAGAUAUAGGGAAAUCACUUAAGAAAACGCAUACAACCCACUAGCAAAUAUUAAAAUGUAUUUGAUAUGUGAUUCUUUUCAACUAUAUACCACCUCUAAAAGUGACACUGAAAUAUUCACCUCAAUCUACUUGCUUUUCCUAGCUGGCUACGAAUGCAGUUAAUCAUUGCCAAGAGAUGGUUCUUCCAGUCAAAGGCUUACAGACAGGUUUUAGGAUUGCUGUACCAUUUACAGUACACGCUAUUGCCUGAAAUACCUAUUCACAUUUGUGGGUUUGUUCCCUCUCCAGAAACACCUUGUGAGACCUGAUUUUGAGAAAAUUCAUUUCUGUCAAAAGUAAAUAUACCAGUUCAAUAGUAUUUCUAAAAUGAACGUAUUAUAUUUUCCUUCAUCUAAUCAGCUUCCAGUCAGCACAAACUAUGACAGCACUGCUAAAUAGCCUGUUAUCCAGUAUCCAUCCCAGGUGUCUGGUCAUAUAAUCACUUUUCCCCAUUGUAUUGUUCCUUAAAUCUUUACAGGAAACUUUUAUCAGUGGGACAGCUGUUUGAGAAAGAGAUUGGCGUUUGAAUAUUACAUGAAUGCUUUUUACUAUCACUAUUUUCUUUCCACCUCUGACUGGAAAUAACCUCAAUGAAAUGAAAUUAGCUAAUUUUUCAUUAUUCACUCUUUCCACAACUUCCUUUGCGUACGUGUGCUGGGACUGGCUGGGACGGAGCUACCUUUCCCCACAGCAGCCCAUACGGUGCUGUGCUUUGCACUUGUGGCCAGAACAGCAUUGAUGUCACACCCAUGUUCCGGCUGCUGCUGAGCAGUGCUGGCACAGCAUCAAGGCUCCCUCUCCAAUUCCACCCCCUAGCCCCCAGAGGCCAGUAGGCUGGGGGUGGGCAGGAGGUGAGGAGUGGACAUGGUCAGGACAGCUGCCCUAAACUGACCAGAAGGAUAUCCCCUACUGUAUGAUGCCACACUUGAAAAUAUAUCUGGGGGAGAAGGGGGGACACUCAUUAUCAGGGGGACACUCAUUAUCAAGGUGUUUCAGAGCAACUGUGAUGCGCAUUGAGGUCCUUGCUUCCCAAGAAGCUGCAGAACAUCACUUGCUAAUGGGAAGUAGAGACUUUUUUUUUCCUCCUUUUGCUACCAUACAGCCUUUGCUUUUUUUCCUUUCAUUAAACUGCUCCUCAUCUCAAACCAGGAGCUUUUCUUUUUUCAUUGUAUUUUCUCCCCCUGUCCUUCUGAGGAGAGGGAGAGAGAGAGCAACUUGGUGGUACUUAGCUGCCCAUCAGUUGUUAAACCACCACUGUACAACAAGCUGGACUAAAGAUUUUUAAUAGAAUCAAUCUGUGUUUUUUUUUUUUUCUUUUUUUUUUUUUCUUCCGUGCCAUACUACAUUUCAAGUAUUCUUUAACUAACUACUGAAGGUUCAUUGGUCUAAAGUGCAAAGAGCCACCCUCAAAAAGAUGAUUUCUGGAGUACACUGACUACCCCACCAAGCUCCACUCUAACAACUGAUGUUAAUGAUAAGGCAGUUGUUUUUUUGGUUUUAUUUUAAGUUCAUAUUCACAAGCCUCUUCAAGAACUUUUGGGUGAACACCACAUCAUUCAGCUCUGAAGCUAACUUUCUGAAGACAACAUGCACAAGCUUUAUAUGGAGAUCUUUCCUAAAAGAAAAUCUAGCAUCAAAAAAAGGCAAUAGUCUAUCCCUAUACCAACAAAUCCAAAAAUGCUUCCAAGAUUGCAGGUCCAGAUCAAGCAUACCAGAGAGCAAAGGGUCCAUCUGCCAUGCCAUGGCUGCUACAUGAGGAAGCCUAAACCUGCAGGAAGGAAGGGAGCAGUGCCAUGUGCCUGGAUGUCCCCCAACAGUCACAGGGCCAGGCUGCAAUGAGAAGCUUUGAGCAUUUUUUACCUGCAGAAGAGAUCCACAGAUGUUUACACCUAGGUAUUUCACAUCAUAUUUCCUAUCUACCUUAUCAUUUUAAGGAUUCUUUUUUAAUUUAAUAGUUUGAAUUAUUACUGAGUUUUUGGAAAAAAAUCUGUAGCAAUAAAAAUGCUUUCUUUAAUUUUAGAAAAGAAAACAACUGUUUCUCUCUGCUUAACAGAUUUAUAAAUAUUAGAAAACAGAAAAAAAAAGUUGAUUUCAAUGAAUUUGCCUGAUAAGCAGAUUGUAAGUGCCAUUUAAAAGAAGGAUAUAUUUAUAUAAAGAAAUACAGAAAGUUCAUUCUGAUUAAUUAUUAGCCUGCUGACAGUACAGAGCUAAUGCAACAGACCUGGAUGUGUCCUUGUGAGCCAACAAAGCGGCAGGAUAUGGAUUUUGCAGAAUAUGAACAACCCUUGUAUCUCAAGAGAAUCCUCAAAAUUCCCCCAGAUCUGCGGAAUCUGUAUGGUAUGAUGUUCAAAUCUUUUUCAUUCUACUUUUUUUUCCUGUACUGUGCAGAGAACUCCUGUCCUAGUUGAGAAAUUCUAAGGAAUCUUUUUUACUUCCUCUAUUUUCCUCAUAGCAAGGCUUCAUAUGCAAAGAAGGCAUGAGCUUGGCUGGUGCUUACCAAUUCAAUCACAUUAAUAAAUGUAUCAAAAGCAAUAUCAAAAACAUGCACUAGUAAGUCUGUAAACACUGGACAUUUAAAUCAUAUUAAAUGUAAUGCUUUUUAGGCAAAGAAUCAUCAAAGAACUGAAAUUCUCAAAGUGUUUCAGUUUUUAUAACAGCAGGUAUAUGAAAAGCACCUUAUUAAAAACACAAUAAGCGGAGAGACCAAGCUAGGAACUAUUUGCAGUCAAACCGAUUUCUUCUUCAGCAACUGCACUGUGAAGCUUCUAAGUGGAAUGUGCAGACAAGAAACCAACAUCCAACACUUCAAAUACUCAGCAUCAGGUGCUGUCAGUCAUUCCCAGUAUUCUUCAUUAUGAGUGAAAUCUCCUGUCUCAGUAUGAGAAGAAGUCACACAGAUUUGGUUUUGAGUUUGUUUUUGAGCAAAAGCUUUGAAGCACUUUUUGUUCUGAAACAUAUCAUUACAAUGAAUUUUGUGACAGAUCAUUUCCCUAACGAUCACGUUUCCUGUAGUGAGACUUCUCAUCUGUCUGUAAACUGCACCAACACUGCAACCACGUGCACACAGUAACAACUCCCACCUCCAGUGAAAAUGCCAUUAUGUGCACACAGACUGACAUGCGGACAGGACUCAAAGAGAUGUGUCACUCCAACCUAAAACACAGAUUAGGAGUCUGCUGCACCAGCAUGGCUGAACUGUUUUGAUUUUGCAUUUGUUUUACAAAGAUAUUAGAUAGUAACUUUAAUAGAAAUCCAUAUUGUUAAGACCUAUCAUUAUAGUCCUGACCAUGCUAAUUCCUGUUGGCAUUCACCUCCUGCAGUACCACAGUUAUUCCAGAACAUGAAAUUAAGUGCAGCUGCUAAAUGGACUGGUGCUGCAAAAUGGCCAGCAUUGUUUGCAUUAUUGUUAUUUCCCUGCUCUUAAUUUACUCAUUUCUCUCUAACUUGCUUGUGCUCCAGAACACAUAAAAGUUACCACUCUUUGAUCUUACCCAACUGUCCAAGCAGCACAUUAUUUUGUGCUUCAAUUUAAUGCCCCUGCCUGAAAGUAGGCAGAAAUUUUCCAUUGAAGCUGACAGCAAUGUUCUCUCAGGAAGAGGGAUUUACCCUCACAUCAUUCCCCACUAGCCCUUGGUGAUUUUCAGGCUACAUUCUUGUAUCCAUUUUUAAUUUACAAAUGCUCUUCUUGUGUCCUCAUUUCCCCUCCUCUUUUUUGCUUUUUCUUACUCUGCAAAAGUUACAGAGUAUUUCUUUUUGUCCAGCAACUUCCCAGGUGACAUUGUGGACGUCAGCUCUCUGGAGCUGCUUCCAUUUAACCUGGGAAUAACUACUUUGCUUAACUAAUGUGUUUUGAGCUCUAUGUAACAGCAAGAUAUUUAAGAAGGUUCACUGAAGUCCAUUUCUGAAGCAGAAAUAUUUUAUAUCAACUCCACAAGGUGACAAUUUGUGAGGAUGAACAGGUGUCCCAAGGCUCUUUCUUUUGCAUUUCCUCUAAUAAUUACUGUUUAGCACAACUUAGUACAAUAAACUUGCAGUCUGCUUUCUGCAAAUACAUAUAAUACCUUCUGACACAAGCAUUUCACAAGCUAAUAAUGUAAAGAAAAAUUUUCCGUGAUUCAUGAUUGUCUUAAAGAAAUUAAUUCAAUUUCUUUGUCUCACCUAUGAGAUUAAAAUGACAAUCAAUGACAUUGUUUCACUCAAAACCACUUGUAUACAUAGGAAACACUUGAGGCUGAGGUACAUUCCUAAACACAUAAAUCUGUUCUGAACCCUUCAGCAUUUAGGAAGAGUUACUGUGUUUCUACUUACUUAUGUGUAAAACUACACACUAUAAGGAACUAUCAGCCCAUUAAAAGUUUGGGAAUACUGAGUGACUGCUGUAUGAAUAUAUAUAAGGGAUCAAACCUUGUGCAUUUAGCCUGACACUGAAGUAUUUUACCUUCACUCUAAAGAACCCCACUGAAAUUGUCUCUUAAAUUUAAGGUAGUGAAUAACCCUUUGCUUUCUCAAAGGCACAGAACUUAAAUAAGUAAAAUUGCCAAAGUCUUAGUAAUAUUUAUCUUAAAGACAAGCUGUUUUUUCCUCAGUUAGCCUCUCAUACACAUCGUUUGAAUGCUUCUCCAGGUAAGAAUUUGCAGAAGGGAGACUGUAAUCAUUACAACAAUUAUUAAUAUGAAAGAAAUGCCUUCCUGACUGGAAAAAGGAUGCAUUUUUCUUAACUAGAUAUUGCUUCUUCCCCUUUGCAUUCAUUCUGCACAUAUGCUUACUCCAUAGAGAAGAGAGACAUUCUCAGCAACUUCUUCGAGCAAGAAUUCCUCCCCCUCCCCUGUAAGAAUUGUCUUUAAGUGGAAGAACGAUAGUAUUCUGCCUACACUUCCUGGAAACUAAGCAUAGGUCUGUGUGUCUGCGUUUAUCAAAAUAUCCAUCAAAGGUCAGGUAAUUUUCCAUACUCAUAGAGAGACAAAGAUGCUACCUAUCUUGAUGAAUCAGUUCAAGAGCGUUAGUGUUUGUCCCUCAAAAUGAAUCUGAUUUAAUCACUGAGAAAACGAAGGACAUUAUUUCCAUAACUUUAACUGUGCUCAGAAUUACAAUCUUUUCAAAUUCUUCCACUGUGGGCCCAGAUCUUCCCUAGCUCUGAAGUCGGUGACAGGAGACAAGUGACCAAGCAGCAAAUCAGUCAGUAAGUGGGUAACUAGUCGGAAAAGCUAAGAGCUGGAUUUCGGAAAGUAUGAAGUCACUAGGGAGCAACAGGUUCCAAGUGCUACCUUGGAGAAAGAAAAAUAAAUAAAUAAAUAAAAAUGCUUUCUUUGUCCUACCACUAAAAUGUUGGAGCUUAGUCAUUAGAUUUUUAUUCUCUUCAUACUAACAUGUAAAAUAGUGAUUGUGGCCUCAAUACUUAUUUACUCCCUGCAUAUGAAAGAAUUCCACUUAUUUCUUAGGGGGAAAAAAAAAAAACAAACACCUCUAGUGUUUGUUUUGACAUCAGGAUUGCAAUUAUUAGUACAAGGUAUCAAUAUGUCAGCACAUUCAUAGUAAGACAUUUCAAAGGCUUAUAGUUCCAAAACAGAUAAGGGAAUUAGGAGCCUAAGUGAUCCUCAGGAAUUCCAGUAUAUCCAUCAGGAAAGCUUCUGUCAGCUUCAACAAUAACAGUACAAAGAAACUUGACAGAAAUCAGUUUAUGCUGCAAGUAUGUUAACCUGAUCCAGAGAGGCCAAAAUAUUUUUUAAUACUUAAUUCUUAUUUUGGCAUUACAGCAGUAACACAAAAUUUGCUAGAUGUCUUAACUUUGAAAGAAUUGAAAUAGUCAAAAAGAAAAAAAACCACUUAGUUUUUCUUUUUUAUCCUCAAACCUCUCUUACACCUGAGCAAAGAUAACAACUAAUUCUACACAAUAUUUUGCACCUGUAUUCUCUAACAUCUUUCAACUUUGCAAGUGUUGGUACUGAUUAAAUAUAUAAAAACAAAGGCUAAAACACAAAACAUACUAGAGACUGAUUUGAUUUUAAACUGUGGUGGUUUUUCUGAAGCAUCUUCCUGCUACUUCCAUGUCAGUUCUAUGCCCCGCUGAAUGGGAAUAUACUUUACUAUGUUUCAGUCCUUUUUGCAGGAAGCAGGAAUACCUCAAAAUAUUUCAGAUCAUUUGUCAAAUAUGUAACAACAAAUGCCAUUUCCAUUUUGAUAAACAAUAAUAGAAAACAAUACAAAAAUGAUGAAAACAUUAACAAUACACAAGUCAGUUUCAUUGGUCAUAAAUACAAUAGAGAUAAUCAUGCUCCACAGAAAUAAGUAGGAAAAGACAGCCGCCAGCAUGUUGUGCUGGGUCAAGAGGUGCAGGAUUGACAUUACACUACUGCAAAGAACUGGAUGUGUUACCAGACCUCGCUAGAUGUCUUAGCAAAAAAAAAAAAAAAACAACCACCAAACGAUCGUUGAAGAGUAGCUAUGAAAAAAUCUCGAUUUGCUUGUUUUACAACAUUACCAGAAGGAUUUCAACACAGAAAUACACUCUAGAAAGUUUCAGAUAGAUGUGACUUUCACAGGCAUAACGACUAUUUUAUAUGACAGUUCUACGCACACAGGCUGUUUCAGAAGACAUUGUUUGGGAAGCAACGGUAAUUAUUCAAGAAUUGGCAAAUGUCCAUUGGUAUUGUCUUAGCCUUAGCUUGUAAAGCCUUGGUUCUUUCCCUUUCCUAAAACCUAUAGACAUCGCUGAGAUCUUUUAGUCUGUGACCACAGAUUGCUCUUUUUGUCCAGCACUGCCUAGAAACACUGCAGAGCGUGCAGUGAAGAUACCUUCUGCCUGCAGAGCUAAUGCUAUGCAUGAGCCAUGGGAACACAAAAAGAAAAGAGGUCUCAUAGCUAAGUAGUAAAAUUUUGUUUUAGGUAAGGAUUAUAUACCAGCUCGCCACAGAAUUCUUAUAUGAUACUACAAAACCUACUUAUGCUAAAUUUUCCAUGCAACAGCCGUUAAUAACUGUUCUGCAUUUAACAGGUUCUUAUUUUCAUUACACCAACCUACUUUACAGAAAUGGUGAGCCUUCAAAACAGCAAAUUAACAGAAAGGAUGCUUUAAAGGAGUAUAGUCCUUGCUAGGUCUCAGAUUGAGCUUUCUCUUUGGAUCAUUUUAUCAUCCUGAACAUCGAAAUCCAUUUUUGUACAGCACUGAGACACAGAUGACGAACACCAUUGAAAAUCUCAAGAGGAAACUAAUAUUUCUAGCUGCAGAAAAGGUUUUGAAUAGUGAGUCAAUAAAUAUGGCCUGAACUAUGAAUUGAACAACACAGACAAAUAUGUUGUCUGAAUAUAUUUUCAUUCUCUACACAGAGAAGGGAAUCCUGUAGGGGGAAAAUUGUGUGACUGUAAAAACUGCCAUAAGACAUACAGAGAAGGCUGAGUCCUGAAAACUGUGAGUGCUUGGCUUUACAACUUUAACGUCACUCUGUAUGCGUGAAUUUUUAUUUUUAAAAACAUCCUCCACCCACCAAAAACAAAACAGAACACACGCUCAAAAAAAAAAAAAACACGCUAUGAGAGGGCACAGUAGUACUCCUCCCAGGCUUUAUCAGCAAGGUUGAGACUUGUAUAUAUCUCCUUGCUCAGGUCUGCCUCUGGAGUUAGGGGAGUACUGAUAGCAUUAGUAUGUUUUCAUCUUCUAUGCAGGACAGUGCUAGAAGACUUUCAUCAAUGAGGUAUUUGCUGACAGCAAAAGAGUGGUGAAACUCAGACUUUCGCUGAGUACAACAUAGAGACAAACAAUUUUUCUUACUUCCUUACUUCUAGUCCUGUAUAUCUUUUCUGGCCUGUCUUUGCUCAAGUCAUGUUUUCUAUCAAAACAGAGCUAUCUUGUUUUCUCAUCUAGUUAGACCCAAUUCCUUAGGCUUCUGAUUCCUACCACAGACCCAUCUUUUCCCAUACCCUGUCUAGGCUUGGCUAUCAGUUUUUCAGGUCUUUCCCCUGCUCCUUCCAGCUGCUCUGUUCCCUGCUGCAAUCUCAGUCUCAGCAUCCAACCUCUUCUCUUAAACCAGUUUCAUCACUUAGCUUCAUAUCUCAUUAGAACUGCUUUCUGAACAUUAUAUGCUUAUAACUACAGGAAAAAAAAACUCUAAAAAGAAGAUAAUUACAUCCACUAACACCAUGAAGAUCUGAUAUCAACCAUAACAUAGAAGAUUUAUCACUCUGUCAAUCACUGCAGAGCUUUUCAAAGGCUGCCAUUAAGAUUUUAAGUGAUUUUUAAACAGGAUGCAGGGCUGUGUACCUGUUUCCUGCUACCUAUGUUGCACAUUGUCACAAGGAUAACCUGACAUAACAGAUAGAGCUCAGAUUUUACAGAAAGACAGCAUUAUUAAACACAUAUUACAUCAGUUUCAUUUGAAAGUCUACUGACAGCCAUAUCUUAUGAUCAGCUAUUUUAAUAGCAACCCCAGCCAUUCCAAGCCCUCAGCAUUUCACAACAAAAUCUUUUUACUCAAACUUGCAGCGAUCUAGAACCUGAAAGUCUAGAACCCUGAGGAAUUUGAACUCACAACCAAUUUCACACACACAAACCACCUCUGUGGAGCUCAAUAAGUAUUUCAAAACUAUUCUAUACCGCACUACGGAUCCAGGCCAAACUUGAAUUAAUUAGAGGCAAUUCCAGAGCUCAUGUCUACAAAGUUCACGACGUGAUAUCCAAGAAAUACAAUGCCAUUCUCUGCACCCCUGAAAGCAACCUCUGUAUUUCUUCUUCCUUAGUUUUUUUCAAGAGAAAAAAAUUGUCAUUUUUUUUUCUAAUCUAAAUAAGUUUAAGGGCAAUGACAACUCAGAAUACAUUUAACUAUUGUUGUUACUGUUUAUGAGCACUCAGAUAUAAGAAUGCUGACCAUAAUGUAAAAAAUUUUGAAACUGAACAGAACAUGAAAUGUGGUCCCUCUUUUUCACAUGCAGAUGCUAUUCACAUUAGAUACUAUAUCUACAGAGGAUGAGCUGUUACAAGAAUUGAGUAUCAGAGGGGUGAAAUUAUACGCUCUCCCAAACAAAAGUGUGAGUGUGUGUUUGUAACACAUCAUCCACACAUUCUGUUGUUUAUUUUCCGUAUUUCACUCACUGGUUAGAGAACACAAUUUGUUAAUGAAAGGAUUAAACAGUUGGAGAAAAUAAUCAUUACAAACAAAUAUAGUGCCUUCAUAUGUGAACCGAUUUUAUUAUUUCUAUCUAGCAAGAAAAGAGCUUUAGAGCAGCAGAAGUUUUUACCUUUGGCUAUUUUAUCAUUAAGAAUAAUCUGCCAUAAAAAAGCUGCAUCGGUUGUCGUCAUGUAAAGAAGUUGUAAGAGCAAAGUGUGAGAAUUACAAUACAUGGAUCUGCGCAGGAGAGUUUUUUUUGGAUCCAGGGAAUAAUUUAUUCAGUUAUGUGUUCCUCUGUAUAAGGUGUUGUAUGUUCCUUUCUCAGAAAAAGAAAUAACAUGGGAUUGGGCAAGGUGUUUGGUUGGGCACAUGUGCUACUAUUGCUUUUUCCCCUCAUCUGUCUUUCCUCUGUACCAUUCCUUUUUAAGAAACGUCCAUGCUGUCCAGAAUCAGAUCAAACUCUUUGUGGACAAGGCCGUCUUUCAUCCUCUGUUAGUACAGCACCUGGCCCAAGAGGAAUGCUUGAUCAUGCCUGAGGUCAUUAGCCCUACUAUACACACAGGUCAGACUGUCUCACACACACACACAAGCAGCUCCCUCCUGACUUUUCAAGUGUUCAGUAUUCACAGCUGCAGCAAAACUCUCAGAAAAGACUAACUUGCAGCUGCACUCUCAAAUUUUUCACUUUAUCUCAGUGACCAACAUGUAGAGGUCUUCUGAAAAUCUGAAGAUUUUCUACUAUGAAAAAACUGCUCUCAAGUGUUUUGGAACUGACAGUGAAAACCAGGGGUAUCUCCUCCAGGCAGUUUUCUCAGGGAAGCAAACAGGAAAGCAGCACUUAAAGUUUAAGGACUUCAGGUAGGUUUAAAAUAUAUAUAUAUAUUUUUUUCUUAUUUUAAUAUAAAGCCAAAGAAAAUUCAAAAAAAGACAGUAUAAACCACAAAGAUAAAAUAAACCCUGUAACACUUUUAAAAGUUUCAAAGGCUUGCCUUUGCAGACUUUCCACUGACGUCACCACUGAGGCAAAACUUAGGUAAGCAGCAGUUCUGUUGCGAAGAGAAACCAAGAGCAUCGACUGCAGAGAGAGCAGCUGAAAAUGGCGUAUCUGACAUGCGCGCUACUUUUAAAAUGUCCUCAUUGCUCAGUGGAGAGUGUUUUUUAGAAGCUGUGGUUUGCAGGCAAUCUUUCCCUUGCCAUUUAAGGCACACUCCUGCAAUGAUAAUACACUUGUUGACAUCUCGAGCAGAAUUACUCACACAUAAACAGCUCUCUUUCCAACAUUAAAACACAAACUAAACACAGUUACUUACAGAUCUCACGUUCAUUUGCUUGAACUGCAUCCCUCAUAUUCAGCACAAUUCCACUGCAAAGCUUCUGAACUCAGAGCUAUUUUGUCAUUCUGCUCUCUAAGUAUAUAUCAGCUCAAGUGGACCCUAGGUUAAGCACUUAUUAAUUCCUAAUGUUUUCUCAGAGUGAAAAUGAGUGCAUUGUGUGGCUCUUAGAAACGUUUUUCUAUGUCCUUUGAUUAGCAGACUAGAGCUGCAAAACCAGAAAUGCUACUGCCGCACUAUGCCACUGAGUCGCACUAAUGUGUAAUUCUUACUGCUAUUUCACAUCUUUCCCCAAACCUCAACCACAUUUCAUACUCCAGACUAGAACACCAGACUGCAGGUGUGGAGGAUGUAGAAAAGUCUUUCAGUUCUGUUGAGCCAGCACAGUUGAGCACAGAAGCAUUAAUGAAACUGCAAACAAGGCCAAACCGUUUCGUGUACAUAAUGGGCAGACUCAAGUAUCGUAAACUUGAUCUCUCUGCUCGCAUACACAGAUACAUUGUGCAGGCAUACAAAUUCACACACAUGGGAAAUAUUAUUGGGAUGGGGGAGCUUGUCUAUUGCUUACAAGAGACCUAGGGCUAUAUUCUAUCACCGCCAUCAAGAACCAAGUAAGAAAUUUGCAUACCAUUUAAAAAAUAAAUGUUUUAUUAUCAUUUGAAUGCUUCCAAGAGUGAUGAAUAGAGAAAUCCUCCAGAUACUCUAACCAAAACUCAUUAAAACAAAAGAUUUAUCUAAUGCAUGCAUGUGAUUCUGUAUGUGUUUUAAGAUAUUUGAGUUGUAUCUCAGAAGAUAAAUUGAAUUGCAGCAAUAUCGGCCAUCUUUCCUUCUGUUUUGCGAGCAUAUGAUUUUAAAUGGAUUCAGCUUGGCCAGCACUUCUCUAGGAGAGUUGACUUACAUUUAUAAAUGUUACUACUACAACUUCUAAAACACCUAAGUUGCUAGAAAGACUCAGUAUAGUAUUUACCCCUAAGUGGGGAGGAUGCUUUGUAAGGUGAAGCCUUUUGCAACUAUGGUCCAUUUGGCACAUGUUGAUCUCACCUCAUCUGCAGACAAUGGAAGAAAAAGCUGGCAGCUCUGUUUCUGUCUCUCAAGGGCUCACUGACUUCAGUUCUUUCACCCAGCAGUGGUUAAAAUGGAGACUGCAUUGGACAUGAUCGUAUUUUAGAGAAUUUCAGAUUUGCUGACAUUAACCACAGUAUGGGUUGCUCUUAUUUAGCACAAAAGUAUCAACUCCCUGUUAACAACACCUGUGCUUUAGAACGGAGAACAGAUCAGAACUUUAUGCACAAGUCAUUUGUUUCAUGCUUUUCAUUUUCUCUGCUCAGAUACACUAUUCAAAAUAUUCUAAUGCACUCUAAAGUUUAUUCAGAUUAAUUUGGGGUAACUUACAGGCUGCAAGGGACAAGCAUCCCUCCGAAUAUUUAAGGAAUUAUGACUUUGUAUGUUGUAAUAUGAUAACCAUUAGUACCCUCAACUUUAUAGAUGAUGUAACAGAUCUGGAAAAAUGAAGACAACACUUCACACCAUGAGUUUCUGAGACAGCCUUGACUACAAAUGAUUUCUGUCUCUUACAUCUUAUUCUAAAAGCUUGAAUGUGUUCUGCCAUUUAUCUUACUCUUUUCUCCACCUACAUACAUUUUAACUCACAUACACCCAGAAACAGUUCAGGAGAUAACACAUUAAAUAUUCCACUCAUAGCCUCAGCAAUGUAUAUGAUUAGCUGGAAAGGCUUUACUAGCCAUAUGCUUUUGUACCAUCUCAGCUGAGAUUCUGUAUUGUAUUACAUUUCCCUGAGUAUAAAAUCUGUCAGGUUGUAUAUGAAGUAUAAGCUUCAUAUAACAAAAAGCUAUUUGCUUAUGUGCUGUACAGAAAGCAUCUUUGUAUGGCUUCAUUUUUCUAUUAGACACAGCUAGUUUUAUUUUUAUUUUUAUUUUUUUUUCUGUCAGGGAAAAAAAUAUAUUUGCAAAGGCAAUUAAAAAUAUUGCUCCAUGGUGUCCACAUUUUUGCAACAACAAAAAUUAUUCAUGCACAACAAAAUAUACCUCUAGAGCUCUGUGCUGGGCAGUGGGAUUAUGAAUGAAGAACAGACAGGUUGUAACAGAAGUCUUUGAAAGUAGAGAAUUGAAAACUAAGCAAGCAGGCUACCUGAGGAGGCACUGACACAGAGGGUAUAAGUGGAAGAUCUUAUUGUGGAAGUACCGCAAAGCAGCAGCAUAAAAGAACAGAAAAGGAUUGGAUUUUGUUAGCUAUCUGCAGCACUAUGGAUAAUAUAUGCUGGCACGGCUCACAGCUAGGUUCUAAAAUCCUGGCACUGAGGGCCCCAAACUGCUUUAUUUGAAACAGAAGGAAGCCUAGAAAUUGAUAAAAUGCUGUAAAUGUUACCGAAACCGCAUUGAACAUGAUCUGUUUACAAGUGUAUGGAUAGCCUGGGAAUGUAUCAGGACACACAGUGCAGCAGUCUGAGAACAGUAAAGUUGCAGGGGAAAAAAAAAUUUAAAAAAAGGAAAAAAAGAAAAAAGCUUUCACUACUGUUUAGAUUACUUUAAUCUCGAUAUUUACAGGGGGAAGUCAGUUUUGCCACUUUGAGACUUUUUACCAGUGAUUGCACAGAAGGAAUUCAGAGCCUAAUCUUUACCUUGAAGAGAGUAGACAAUUACCUCCCAAAAUGUUUUUUGAUGUUCUGUACUUCAUAAGUUUGCCUAAAAGAAAUAACUGUUUGAUUUCUAGUUAUAUACAAUUAAAGAUGAAUAAACGCAAACAACAGACAACUCCACACAACGCGGAAAGCAGUAGAGCUCAGGGACAACCACUACUUCCCAGGCAGGGUGGGCAGUCCCAACCUCAGCAGCCAGCUCAAGGACACUUCAGUUCUGAGAAGCCCAUGGGCAUCCUGUCCAAUCCUAGCUAAUCCGUUAACGUUCCCAUAAUAUACACCGGUUCUUGCUAUGGUUUGAAAGGCAUUCACAUGCUAGCAAGCCUUGCCCAGCACAUGACACCUUCCUGCAUUGCCUCUUUGCACAGCUGUCUUGGGUGUCAUUGCUGCAGCCACCCCAGUGCACUGCGGUAUUCACCCCCAGGGCCAGCAGCAUGGGAGGAACAGCCACCGCAACUAGGGGGAGUGACAGCAGCAAGACUCGGGGUAUGUGUGUUCUGCAAAAUGCAGGGUAAUACGGAGACACUUGAGCUAAUGCUAAACAAGGUAGUUAAAUGAGUAUGAAGAAAAGUCACACCAACACAGCAGACAACUCAGUGUUGGUUAAUUUGCUCUGCCUGCCUGGUUGGUCAGAUAUAUGCCUGUUAGUAGUAACUCUUAAAAGUAGACCAAGAAUAUAAACAGAGGACAGAAUAUUUUCACGGCCUGCUGUUCUCCUUUGCUUGCUUCCAGAAUGGUACAGAACAUGCCACAAUGCAUCUGCACAGAAAAAGAGAACAGGAUAAUUUUUAUGCGCCAUAUAGAACGCAUUUACAGUUUCAGUGUGGAGGUUGCCUACUUGUUUAACGCAUGCACACACUCUCAGGGAGGCAGACAGCUUUGCAGAUAGGCGACUGAAGUCAGACAAACAUAACUUGAUUCCUAAUACAAGAAGUAUUUUGAAAAGUCACUUCAUCCUGUUUCCUCCCAUUGAUUCUUCUGCCUCGUUAUAUACAUGAUUUUUCUAACCCAUUCACUAUUGAUAUGUUAUUCAGAAUCAAAACAUAUAAACUUAUGUUCACCAAAGAAAAACUAAAACUAGAAGAAAUGGUUCCAAUACACCCUGCCACUGACAGCAGGAUUUUCUCUAGAACGAGUCUCUGCAUGGCAGCUUUGUGGCUUUAGGUUUACAGUGGUAAAACAUUCUCUGUAUGUCAAUACACUGAUGUGAGUGAAUACAAAAUGACUAGCAAACAUCAUUUGCAUACUAUGUAAGAAAGACCCAUUAGCUUUGAACCGAUAUCUCUUGCCCUAAAUGCAGUUAUCAAUCAAUAUCCCACAACAACGCAGCCAUCAGCUUAUUCUGUUUGUGUAGGACCAGGUGAACAGGUGAAGAAAAAUUACACAUUUGGUCAAAGUCUGUAGCUAAUUCUUGCUCAGAAACCAUGUAGCCAUGCUGGUGUGGUACUGUGCUCAGAUUAAUAUGAGCAUCCUGCUUAGGUACUCCACCAUAAUCAAACUGAAUGGUUUCCAACUUAGAGCUGGCUUGCAUCUCAGACAGCCCAGGAAGUGAGCAGGACUGCCUGCAGCCCCAUGCAGACAUCAACUCUUGAUCUUGAAGUAAGUAUUUGAAGUAUGCAAGAUGUGAAAAGCAGGUAAUUUGUUUCAAGUUAUUAACAGGUCCCUGUCCACAGGACUCUGAGAUAUGUAUUUCAGAAAGCCUCAAGUUCACCACUGAAAUAAAGAAUACGAUACAGUCCUAAAGGAAACGUGCAGUGGGGUGCCUGUAAGAGGAAAACCUCAGAGCGGGUGUUCUGGAGACACCGGACUUCACUUGCUUUUACCCUAAUGCCUAUCCUCCUGCCUGCGCAAUUCCCGUUAUCCUUUACUGUACACAGAAAAUGAGCCAAUAUUACAAAGUUCUGCCACUUAAAAAUUAGAUCUGCCAGACACUUUCCAAAGGAAUAGACCUCUUCACAGAAAGUCAGAACCAUAGCAGGAUCUAUACAGAAGCUGAUGACUGUGCAAAGAAAACAUAACACUUCUAGGUGGAAACCUCCACAGCUGUUGGGAAAAGAGACUCCAUGGCCUCAGAUUUCUGCAUGCCUGCUGAAGCUCAAUACUUUUUACUUGGAGAAUAAAAAAGUCACACCGAAAACUACCAAGCAAUUUUUUUAACUUCCUGAAAUAAAGGAAGUGGCACGGCAGUAGGGGAAGCUUUUUGAAAGCUGUCAAAUUGCUAAUACUUUUGUGGGGGAGAAACCUAAAUAAAGAAGCUAACGGGAAAAAAAGUGCUAGUCCUGCAAGCAUUUAUUUUGCUUUCUUUAUUAUUAUUAUUAUUUAAGGGGAGUAAAGGAUUUUUUUUAUUGUUGUUUUGAUUGUUUUGUUCUGCUGUUGUUGCAAAGACAACAUUGUUGUUGCAUUGCAUCAGUUAUGUUAGCAUUACUUUUUUGAAAAGCAAGUCAGCCUAGAUAUUUGAAAGUAUUAUAUUAUCAAUUUCACACUGAAGAUUUCAAAGAAGUAUGCAGCUGUCUACUAAAGAUUUUCAGAAAGCUAGCUAUUCCAAGCAGGUGAGGAUGAAAGACUAAUAAAUAGUGCACAAAGCACUGAUGAGUUUAGUGGGAUACUUCAGCAAUGCAAAUGCUUACAAUGCUCUUGGAGUAAAAUACUAAUACGAAAACAAGUCCCGAAGCACACCCAACUCUUACUAAUAGGUGCCUGAAAAUUGUUCUUGCCAUAAAACCAAAGCCUACGCCAACAUUUCCUAACAUUUAUCCUCCAAUAACAAAUUCCUUCAGAGAAGACUGCACAGUAGUCCCUAGCCACCAGGCAGAGUAAUCUGUGCAGCAAAGAUGAGAUAUAAUUGUUCUGUCACUCUGAUGGAAGAAUCAACCUCUCUGAGACACCUGCUCCUACCCUUCCCACUCUGACCAUUAUUUAUAUAAAGGGGUCCUACAUCAAAAUUCAAUGAAAAGAGGAAGUUAUGUAGAUGGGUCAUAAAUGUAAAGUGUAAUAUCAGACAGAAGGAGAGGAGCUCUGUGUUCUCACAAGUGCAUGUGCCAAACUACACGGUGAAAACAAGGUCUAUGAGGUUGAGUACUUGACACUGUGGCAUCAGACUGUUAAUUGCUUUAAGUGUCCUAAUGAAGAAUUAAAACAUCGUUUCUUUGAUGCUCUUCGAUUAGUU